CGCCAGCGCGUGUACACAUACUCCCGGACAGUCGGCGAUCUUCGCCGUGCUUGUUAAUGAAUUUAAAAAACCUACAGGAGGAAGCGUACAUUAAUCACACGUAUGCGGGCACCGUCAACGAACGGAAUUCCUGCAUACGUAAUCUCUACCGAGCUGGCUACUUGACAAAGUAGCUUGAUCUUGAUCUUGGAUGGUGUCACGACGCGAGAACGGGAAGCGAGACUACAACCUCAAGUUGAUAUUACAUGAAAAUGUCGGCAACGUUCGAAAUGAACGAUAUCGUCAGAAUCGAUGUUUCCGAACACUCGUUCAUCAUAGAGAAAAGUACUAGCCAAAGAAUCGUCAUCCUGACCGCCAACUGACCCGGCAAGCGCGAGCAGAAGGACGAUGCCCCCAGGGGCGGUUCUCAGUAUCAUCUUUAGCCUCCCUCUAGUCCACGUCUGUUUGUCCUGUUUCUUCGAUGGGAAGAAGUGACGAAGGAAUAAAAGAAAAAUAGAAGAACAAGAAGAAACCACCUUCGAAAUUGACGCACUGCCUUAUUCGUGCGGUUUCGAUCACGUGCGUGUCAAACUGGCUCUCUUUGCCACGCGAGAGUUCAGCGGUGUUCACAAUGUUGCGUCGUGUGGAUCCACAUCGCCUACCUCGGCUUGUUUGACGGGGACUGACUGGGAUAGAGAUCAGGGCCUACUUGUGUGGGUCAGGGUAUGCGGAUCCCUACCUCCACAGACUUCAAGAGAUCAGAGAGAAAGAAUGAAAGAGCGAGAGAGAGAGAGAGAGAGAGAGAGAGAGAGAGAGAGAGAGGGACAGAAAGAGGAAAGAAGACGGACGGAGAAGCGUCGACCGGCUUUGUAAACGUUGUUCGAAAAGAGUAAGGUUGUUGACAGGGUCGGUGCUAGUUACAUGAUUCCCUGCUCGUUCAGCGCGCUGCGAUUAACGAUUAAUUGACUUUCAAAUAAUUACAAAAUAAACAAUAUCUGAAAAGAAA